UGGGGAAUAUUGCACAAUGGAGGGAACUCUGAUGCAGCGACGCCGCGUGAACGAAGAAGGCUUUCGAGUCGUAAAGUUCUUUUAUAUGGGAAGAUCAUGACGGUACCAUAAGAAGAAGCCCCGGCUAACUACGUGCCAGCAGCCGCGGUAAUACGUAGGGGGCUAGCGUUGUCCGGAAUCACUGGGCGUAAAGGGUUCGCAGGCGGAAAUGCAAGUCAGGUGUAAAAGGCAGUAGCUUAACUACUGUAAGCAUUUGAAACUGCAUAUCUUGAGAAGAGUAGAGGUAAGUGGAAUUUUUAGUGUAGCGGUGAAAUGCGUAGAUAUUAAAAAGAAUACCGGUGGCGAAGGCGACUUACUGGGCUCAUUCUGACGCUGAGGAACGAAAGCGUGGGUAGCAAACAGG
rnacentral:rRNA from 1 species